rnacentral:rRNA from 1 species
AUUGAACGCUGGCGGCAUGCUUUACACAUGCAAGUCGAACGGCAGCACGGGUGCUUGCACCUGGUGGCGAGUGGCGGACGGGUGAGUAAUACAUCGGAACGUGUCCAGAAGAGGGGGAUAACGCAUCGAAAGAUGUGCUAAUACCGCAUAUACUCUAAGGAGGAAAGCAGGGGAUCGAAAGACCUUGCGCUUUUGGAGCGGCCGAUGUCUGAUUAGCUAGUUGGUGGGGUAAGGGCCUACCAAGGCGACGAUCAGUAGUUGGUCUGAGAGGACGACCAGCCACACUGGGACUGAGACACGGCCCAGACUCCUACGGGAGGCAGCAGUGGGGAAUUUUGGACAAUGGGCGCAAGCCUGAUCCAGCAAUGCCGCGUGAGUGAAGAAGGCCUCGGUUGUAAGAC